rnacentral:rRNA from 1 species
UACGAAGGGGGCUAGCGUUGUUCGGAAUUACUGGGCGUAAAGCGUAUGCAGGCGGAUCGUUAAGUCGGGGGUGAAAUCCCGAGGCUCAACCUCGGAACUGCCUUCGAUACUGGCGACCUUCGAGUCCGGGAGAGGUGAGUGGAACUCCGAGUGUAGAGGUGAAAUUCGUAGAUAUCGGGAGGAACACCAGUGGCGAAGGCGGCGACCUGGGCAGAUACUGACGCUGAGGUGCGAAAGCGUGGGGAGCAAACAGG